CACAAAUUCAAUAUGUGAACCCCCCUGGUAACAAAGUGUCUGAUUUUCAAACUUAUUCCAAAGAAAAACACGUGCAAAUUUCAGCCUCUUACCAGAAGAUUUGCUCAAAUCAUUUGAGUCAUCUUGUACACUACUAGUAGUACCAUCUCGAGUUGGGAUGUCUUUCAAAUUCAUAUGUUUUGUACCAGAUAAUUUCAUGAUUUCACGAAAAUAUAAGUCAAAUCACACGAUUUCAUUCGCUGAUCUAAGCAGUAACUAUGCUUGGAAAUUGAUGUUUUAAUAGAUUAGCAAAU
rnacentral:lncRNA from 1 species